GGGAAACUCACCAGGUCCAGACUGGGUAAGGAUGUACAGAUUGACAGCUCUUUACAGAUUCUCAGGGUGGUGGUGCAUGGCCGUUCUUAGUUGGUGGAGUGAUUUGUCUGGUUAAUUCCGUUAACGAACGAGACCUUAACCUGCUAAAUAGCGUCGAGCUUCUUCUUGAAACGAAGAUGUCUUCUUAGAGGGACUAUCGUAGUUACAUACGAUGGAAGUUUGAGGCAAUAA
rnacentral:rRNA from 1 species